rnacentral:rRNA from 1 species
GGACCUGACUGCUAUCGGAUUGAUAUUAAGCCAUGCGAGUCUUUGUAGUAAUACAAGGCAGACGGCUCAGUAACACGUAGUCAAUCUAACCUAUGGACGGGGAUAACCUCGGGAAACUGAGAAUAAUACCCGAUAGAUCAUUAUGCCUGGAAUGGUUUAUGGUCGAAAUGAUUUAUCGCCGUAGGAUGGGACUGCGUUCUAUCAGCUUGUUGGUGAGGUAAUGGCCCACCAAGGCUAUAACAGAUACGGGCUCUGAGAGGAGAAGCCCGGAGAUGGGUACUGAGACACAGACCCAGGCCCUAUGGGGCGCAGCAGGCGAGAAAACUUUGCAAUGUGCGAAAGCACGACAAGGUUAAUCCGAGUGUUUUCUGCUAAAGAAAUCUUUUGUCAGUCCUAAAAACACUGAGGAAUAAGGGGUGGCCAAGUUCUGGUGU